rnacentral:tRNA from 1 species
GGUCUCGUAACUCAGUUGGCUAGAGCAGUGGCUGUACUUAAGCCCUCCCCUUGCUGGCGUGGGUUCAAAUCCCACCGAGGCCA